AAUUUCCCACUAUUUUGACAAAAAUUUGUUUAAAAUAAUAAAUAUUUAACAAGAAUUCAAAAUAAUUUAAACAAAAAUUCACAGAACUUCUGAAAAGCGCAUAAAUUAUUUUCUCAAAGAAUUACGUGUUGUCUCACUUAAAGUUAAUUAAACUUAUUCUAACUGACAGAUUGAUUGUAUGAAGCAAAAGCACACACAAGAGAAGAGUGCGCCACCAUUAUAAAGUAAGUGAUGCUCGCUUUUGUGGAUCAUUGAUAGAAUUUAUUUGCGUACCGCCAAAGCUAUACAAUAUAGCUGAGACUAGACAAAUGCGCUAGCCAGCCGCCUCGCGCCACCAUACCGGACUACCACGACGUCGAAAAUAUAAACGGUUGUGCCAAUACAACACACAGCCAUUUUUAUUAUCUUUUAUUUUUGGUUUAAAAUUAAUGAAAUUCUCAUUGGGCGCAAAAGAUAUGCAGAGAUGCAGACAGAUAGAUAGAAAGAUAGAUAGGUUUAUGUAUACAGAUGGGAAUCAUUUAUGGGGUACUGGUGGAACAUUUCGAAAUUUUACAUCAAAUCGAAUAAGCUUCAAAGUCACAUCCCGUGAAGAAUCGGAUCCAAUUAAAAGCAAUGCCAACAAUGUCGAGUGCCUCCGAUCGAAAACACAUCCUCUCGUCGGAAUAGGUUAAUGAAUUCUAUCUGCGUUUACCUACUCCGGUGAUAUAUGAACACUCUGAGUCACUGGAUUUGAGUCAAUCCAAUGCAAUUUAAACAGAAAUGGUUCCUAAAGACAUCAAACUAAGUUGACCUUGGCAAUAGCAUCGAUUUAACCUUUCUUCGAAAAAAUCAGGUCGUCAGAGAAACAUGUUUUUAUUUCAGAACAAAUGCAUUAUAUUCUAUUUAAUAAAAGUAACCAAUCCAUCGAUUCGGAGUGUUUCAAAAUAGAUUAAAUCUCUUUGUUAUUCCUGCUUAAUUUUGUUUUCUC